AGGAAGCCAGCUGGAAAUACAACAAAACGCCUCUCCCGCUCCUUUAGCAAAACAUGUGUCAGAGCAACGCAAGAUUUGAUUGGGACUGCUUUACUUCGUUAACAAUUACAUCUGUUCGUGACAUUUGGUAUUCCUAAUAUGCCCACUUGGAGGAAAUUGCCAGCUUAGGCCAACCAGGGUGAAAUGCAUGCGCUUAUAAACUCAUAAGCCCAAUAAUAAUUUUCAGAAGGAGGCACUCAUUCACUUCGGCUUAUAAACUUGCAAAUCUGUAGAUUCAUUAGUCUAUCACUUACAUGGAAAGACAAAAUUUAUAUUUAAUUGUUGAGACUUGACUUCAAAAUUUUCAAGAAUAUCAACAUUUGUUUUUGUUGUGCACCUCUCUGUCAAAAGGCAGGAGUAGGGCUGAUUGGAGCCAUUGUACAGUGUCGGGAACAUACCAGGACACUGAGAAUAGUGUCAUGUCAUAAGGACCCAGAGCAGAUGGACCCUGCUGUGAUGCACAAAGGUGAGGGUGCAGCUGCCCAGGACACACUCAUGCAUGUUUGUGUGGACCAUGGAAGAUGGCAGGGGAAGAGCUGUCAGGUUGUUGGGGCAGAGGGUGCGCAUGAGUACUCGCCUAGGACCACGCAAGAUAUGAUAAAGAUCUACAUCACUGAAUUUUGGUUCCAUUUUUGUAUCUCAGCUUCCAGGAAAUAAAAAAGAAUUCUAACAUUCA
ensembl:lncRNA LERFS lncRNA negative regulator of fibroblast-like synoviocyte migration, SYNCRIP interacting